rnacentral:rRNA from 1 species
UACGUAGGGUGCAAGCGUUAAUCGGAAUUACUGGGCGUAAAGCGUGCGCAGGCGGCCAUGCAAGACAGAUGUGAAAUCCCCGGGCUCAACCUGGGAACUGCAUUUGUGACUGCACAGCUUGAGUGCGGCAGAGGGGGAUGGAAUUCCGCGUGUAGCAGUGAAAUGCGUAGAUAUGCGGAGGAACACCGAUGGCGAAGGCAAUCCCCUGGGCCUGCACUGACGCUCAUGCACGAAAGCGUGGGGAGCAAACAGG